AAUUUAGUACAUAUCUAGUCACUCUACAUUUUAGCAUUACCUAUAUUUAAUCGAGAAAGAACAAUAAAGAGAUCUUAGAGUCCUUUAUGGACAGUGCCCUUAAGUUAAACACAUAGUUUGUCUCUAUGAUAGUAAAUGGCUCUGGCGGCUGCACUUUUGAAUUGCCGAUAUUCUAUCGUGAAAAA